rnacentral:lncRNA from 1 species
GCGACGUCCGGAAUUGAACACACAAAUUUACGAUCGUAAGUCAAUUACCCUAACUACUAAGCCACGUGCCUUAGCUAUUACUUAUCUAUGAACGUGGUAAAUUUAUUCCCGUGCCAGAUUUUAUCUGGUAUAUUCAAAAGUUAAUACUUAUUUUAUCUCUUUUCCUUCCAAAUAUCGUUAAUUCAUUUACUGCUAACUCGAAAAGAAUAUUACUAUGAUUCAUUACAAAGCGCUAAUUAACAGCUAUUAUAUUUUCUCAUUUAUAAGUGUUUUACGCGUAAAUCUAAUGGUUCUGCAGUAUUCAUUCCUAACUUAUUCUUUCAUUUCUGUACGCAUCAGUUAAUGAACUAGACAUGAGGUGUCUAGUUCAUUAAUUGGUUAAUAUAUUAAACUCUGUUUUGGUAUAUUCAUAAUUCUUUUAAUUUAUCUAACAUGAUAUUGAUGAAAUUAGUUCACGUCUACCAAAUAUAUUCACAAGUCCUUGGUCGGCCGCAAUUUGUGGUAAAUGUCACUUGGCCAAGGUGCCACGCAGUGGGAACGAACCCGAUACCAUGUGGUAGGGAAGCAAAUUUCUUACCACAAAGCUCCGCCAGCGACUAUAUAACAACAGCCAGAAUUUCGGUGACGAGUAAUCGAAGGUGGCUAGAUCAUGAAGCGAAUCAAACACAACCAUCGAGCACUCACAGUUCAAUCUUCCUUAGGCGUUCAUGCCCUACUAAGAUCUCAGAUGUGUACGGAAAAAAUUAAUAAAAAAUAAGACGGACCCAAGUGUAUUUAUAUUAGAAAUUAUUUUUAUUAAAUUCUUGUAUGUUGCUUGUAGCGUUUCCAAUUAUCUAGUAAUUGUCACAAUUGUCUUUCUAUAUUCAUAUUGUCUUUUCGUAUUAUUAAAAUGUGUGUAGAUGUUUAUGUCCGUAUGAAUAAUGUCUAUACAUUUGCACAUAUCUAUCAUCUAUCUAUCUAUUUAUUUAUCUAUCUAUCUAUCUAUCUAUCUAUCUAUCUAUCUAUCUAUCUAUCUAUCUAUCUGUCUGUCUGUCUGUCUGUCUGUCUGUCUGUCUGUCUGUCUGUCUGUCUGUCUGUCUGUCUCUGUCUGUCUGUCUGUCUCUCUCUCUCUCUCUCUCUCUCUCUCUCUCUCUAUAUAUAUAUAUAUAUGCACAUAUGUAUGCAUGUCUAUAUAUAUAUAUAUAUAUAUAUAGGUGUGUGUGUAUUUAUGUGUGUGUAUUUGUUUGUAUUGCUUAAUAUACAGGGCAAUGAUAUUUUUUGAUAUACUUGUGCAAGUUUCCGUUUAUGUGUGCGCGUUUGUAUAUCACAUAUACUUACUUCUCUCAAACUGUCAUACAAUUAGACACAUAUAUAAUAUAUGCGCUGACUAUAGGUUGCAUCGUCCCUGAAUUGAUAGAGGGGAAGCAUUCUGAAGCUGGGUUGUUUGUUAUUGGCGCAAAUGUGGAUAUGUUCGUUGAAUGCUAUUUUUCUGUAUUUCCGAAUUUUGAUCUGGGAUCUAUGUAGAGCCAUCCUUUUACGUAGACUGUUUUUAGUUAGGCCUAUGUAUUGCUCUCGACACCCAGAACAAGUUAAUACAUAUAUCAGGUUCUCCGAAGCACAUGUGAAAUUGCUUUUCACUGUAAAACGUUGACCCUGUUUGAAAGAGAAUUCUGAUCCCUCAAAUAGGUUGACGCAUAUACUGCAGUUAGGUCGUCUAAAUUUUUUUUCUUAUGGCUUCAGUGCUGUUUUCGAGCGUACAUGGGCUUGUGUUAGGAGAUUUUUCAUAGAUUUGGGCUGUCUUUUGCUCUUUAUGAUUGUGUGCGCUUGGAGGAUUAAAUUCAUUCUGUGGUCCCUUUUUAGUUGGGAAAUGUUCUGGAGGAGGGUGCGGAAGGCUUCAUUGUUAAGAGGAUUGUGUGUGGAGAUGUAUGGUAGGGCUUUUGGUUGUAAAUCCCUCUUUAAUUUGUGUAUAGGUGCCUAUUCAAAAGUGUGGACGAUCUCGUAAAUGGUUGUGUGCAUAUAUAUAUAUAUAUAUAUAUAUAUAUAUAUAUAUAUGUAUAUAUAUAUAAUAUAUACACAUAUAUACAUCCAUAUAUAUAUAUAUAUAUAUAUAUAUAUAUAUAUUUAUAUACAAAUAUACACACACACACACACACAUAUAUAUAUAUAUAUAGAUAGAGCACAAAUAUAUUGAAUAUUAAGAACGAUAUAUAUAUUAUUUCUUAACAGUUGUUUCAGGAAACUCAGAGCUACGUGAUAAUCGUGAUAUUCAUAACUUGGAGUCUUGGAGUCUUGCAAAGAGUCUUGGGUAUGCAACCAGUAAAGAUGCACACGAGGAUAGUACAAUAAGUCCAACACUCGCAAUCACGAGGACGUUAUGUAUCUAUGUGCACACACACACACACACAUAUCUAAAUCUCUAUCUAUCUAUCUAUCUAUCUAUCUAUCUAUCUAUCUAUCUAUCUAUCUAUCUAUCUAUCUAUCUAUCAUCAAUCUAUUUGUCUGUCUAUAUAUAUACAUACAUAUAUAUAUAUAUAUAUACAUAUAUAUAUCUGUAUAGACACACACACACACAUAGACAUCCCUUCCAUUUACUGUUUUUUGAAUUAUUCCACAUUGGGUUUCAUUUAUAUUACAUGUCGUCGCAGAGCUAACAAAAUUAUGUUAUACGUUUCUUAAGUUAACUUUAUUUAAAUAUUCUUUACAAUUUUGCGUAAUCCAUUUGAUUUUGCUAUGUAAGUUGCUUUUUUUUCUUUCCUUAGACGAAAAAUUACUGAAAGGAAAGAAAAGGAUACAAAAAAAUCCAAGAAAAAGCUAAAGGAAAGGGAGAGACAGAAAUGAAGAGAAUUGUAUGAAUGAAAAAAAAUUGAAGACUAAGGAAAAACGAAGAAAUUGUAUCACAGGAAAAAAAAUGUAUCUAAUGUUUGAAUAAAACAGAUGCAGGCAUAUUCAGACAAUCUGACAAAAGAUAUUUCAGAAAGAAGCAGAGUGAA